GGUCUGGUGGUGUAGUUGGUUAUCACGUCAGUCUAACACAUUCGAGACCACCUCUCGAUCGUGAGCACACUGAAGGUCUCCGGUUCAAGUCCGGGCUAGAUCA
rnacentral:tRNA from 1 species